CCUACGGGAGGCUGCAGUGGGGAAUAUUGGGCAAUGGGCGCAAGCCUGACCCAGCAACGCCGCGUGAAGGAAGAAGGCUUUCGGGUUGUAAACUUCUUUUCUGAGGGACGAAGAAAGUGACGGUACCUCAGGAAUAAGCCACGGCUAAAUACGUGCAAGCAGCCGCGGUAUUGCGGAGGUGGCAAGCGUUAUCCGGAUUUAUGGGGUGUAAAGGGCGUGUAGGCGGGAAAGCAAGUCAGAAGUGAAAACUCAGGGCUCAACCCUGAGCGUGCAUUUGAAACUGUUAUACUUGAGUGCUGGAGAGGGAAGCGGAAUGCGGUGUGUAGCGGUGAAAUGCGUAGAUAUAGGGCAGAACA
rnacentral:rRNA from 1 species